ACCCUUUAGAUACUCUUGUAAAGGUAGUGACAAUGUUCUUGAGAACAGUGUAUAUAAGAAAGAUAAGAGAAAUUAGAGAUUUGCAAAACUAGCAACAUUAACAUUGGAGUUGAAAUAUUGAGCCAAGUCUUGAUGUCAAGCCAUAUCUUAUCUAACAGUGUUUUUCUCAAAAAUUUAUCGCCUCUGUUAACGACUGACAUUGUACGAGAAUUUCUUACGCCUCAUAUACCUGAUCCCAAUGAGAUAUUACGUAUUGAAUUCAAAAUGUUUGCUGGAACAGCGCAACGUUAUUGUCAGGUGGAUUUCCGUACCUCUUCAGGAGUAACAGCAGCUACGUCACAAAACGGACAAAGUCUUCUUGGAGUCCCUUUGGUUAUCACAGUCAUCGAUCCUACGAUCCAAGCUUCCUUGCGCCCUCCUUUACUUUCUUGGGGCUAUGGAGGUGUAACAUCUUCUUUAACGGAUUCUUGUCCGGAUCAUUUUUUAUCUCACAGUUUAGGUUAUGAUUACCCUCCACGCGAAACAGAAGAGCAGCAAUUAACCCGUACUGUUCAUGUAGCCAAUCUACCUCAAAUUUGGACCCUACGGGAAAUCAUUGAUCACUUGAUUGCCCAUGUUAAAGAAGAGCAUGCUCUUACUCUUGAGGUUGUUGAUAAUCGUUUAAUCGACGGUGCUGCUUCAGAUUUUGGAAAACGUGUUGCGCUUAUAGAGUUCAAAACUACUGAAAUGGCUGAUGCUGUUAGAAAUCUAUCAAUUUCUUCUAGAACAAUAGAUUCACACGAAUUAAUUAUUUCGCGAGCCAAAACUACAGUAACUUUACGAGAACCAGAUAAUGUUAGUUUCAAUUUACCUCCCUCCGUUCCUGUUCCUGUUGCCUAUCAACAAUUGAAUAAAUUAAAGUUACAAGAAAAGAUAUCUAAAGCAAAAGCAUUGGCUGAUCGUUUGGCUUCCAAAUCGUUAAAUCAGGAAAGAAAACAGUCUGGUUUUUGUUUACAAGAAGAAAAAAUUUUGAAUUCGGCAAAGGCGACACUGGAUGGAGACCCACAGUCUAGUAGUCAUUCUAAAUGCGAUUCUGCCGUGGAAUCAAACGCGCAUCUUGGCAAAUGUAGUUUUUCCGAUAAAAGCACAUUGAAGCAUGAUGCUGGUUAUUCUUAUGAAAAAAAAAGAUCCAAUAGCAAUAAAAGGCGUUGUAGCUACUCGUCAGAAAAGCGCUUUCGAGACACAGUGAGAAGACGCCCUUCAACUUCGGUUGGAAGACGUCGCCAGGAUUGUGUGGAAAGGCGUUUGGGCGAAUCAAUUGAAAGUUGUCGUAGAGAUUGUUUUGAAAAGAAAGAGGCAGAUUCUUUAAAAAGGCGUUGUAACGACUCAAUGGAAAAACGGAAACGUCGAUCAUUUGAGAGGCGUUACGCGCAUUCAUCACAUCGGCGUCGUAGUAGCGCAACAGGCAGGCAUUAUGGUUCCAUGCUAGAAAAACACGUUGCUUCUUUUUUAGAAAAACGCCGACGUUCAAAAGACAGGCGACAUAGGUAUUCAAUAGAAAAGUACCGUGACUCUCCACCAGAAAAACGUUCAAGCCGUUCGCCCGAAAGGCGUUUUAUUCGUUCACCUAAAAGGCGUUCAUAUCGCUCACCCAGAAGGUUGCCAAGUUGUUCACCUGAAAGGCGUUCAUGUCGCUCACCCAGAAGGUUGCCAAGUUUUUCACCUGGAAGGCGUUCAUAUCGCUCACCCAAAAGGUUGCUAAGUUAUUCACCUAAAAGGCGUUCAAGUCGCUCACCCGGAAGGUUGCCAAGUUGUUCACUUGAAAGGCGUUCUAGUCGGUCAACCGAAAAACGUCGAGGUCAUUCACCCGAAAAGCGUGCAAGUCGGUCCACCGAAAAACGUCGAGGUCAUUCACAUGAAAAGCGUGCAAGUCGGUCAACCGAAAAACGUCGUGGUCAUUCACCCGAAAAGCGUAAUAGUCGGUCAACCGAAAAAUGUCGAGGUCAUUCAGUUAAAAGGCGUCGAAAUUUUUCAGCUGAAAGGCGUGGUGACUACUCACCUGAGAGACGUCGUAACUACUCACCUGAGAGACGUCGUGACUACUCACCUGAAAGACGUCGAGACCCUUCAGUUGAAAGGCGUCGAGGUCGUUCACUGGAAAGGCGUCGUGGUCGCUCACUGGAAAGGCGUCGAGCUCGCUCACUAGUAAAGCGGCGAGAUUACUCACUGGAAAGGCGUCGAGCUCGUUCACUGGAAAGGCGUCGAGCUCGCUCUCCGGAAAGGCAUCGGGAAUCUUCGUUUAAAAGACAACGGGGGUAUUCAUCAAAAAGGCAUCGUGAAUAUUCUUUAGGAAAACCUUCUUCACAUGUUUUUGAAAGACGGCAUAAACGUUCACUAGAGAAAUAUGAAAAUCCUUGCUCAGAAAAACGUACUCGUGAUUUCUCUAUUGAAACACACAAAAGUAGCCGCGAUCCUUUUUCUAAAAGUCUGGGAUCAGCGUGUAGUAAUAACUCAACACACGAUAAGGAUUUGAAAUCGAACGAUGAGAGAGUUUUGAAAAGUAAUGAUGGUUCCACAGACAAGUUAUUAAGAAGUCAAGGCCAACGGCAACGUCAUGUGGUGGUGUCGUAUCGAUCAGACCGUGGAAAACGGUCAAAACGGGAAAGGUCUUUUAGUUCAAAAGAAAUGAAUUUGAAAACGUCACGUCGUUCUUUGUCUGCUGUUCCUUAUGACAAGUUGCCUAGUAAAGCGUUACAAAAGGACACAUUACAAAAUCGAGCGACCAAUCAUUACAGUCAGAGUAGCAAUCCUACUUAUGAGCAAAGUGAAAGCCUUUUAAAAAAUAGUGACUGCCCGACCUCCCCACAUACAUCUUUGGAUAAAAAUAAGGAGGCCCAACUAUCAAAGGAGGGUCAUCCAUACAACAAGCACCAUCAUCUUAUGGCAUUAAACCAAAAUACAGAAGGUGGAAUGAAAAUUAAUCCUUAUGAGUUUGUACCAUCACCGUUAAAUGGGCGUCGACAUACAGAUGAAACAUCAAAAGGCAGGAAACUAGUAGAAACUCAUUUGAGUACUUCGAGCUCACAUGACGCCAAGCAGGACUCUUCCGAACCGCCCGAUUUAGGAAAUGUUUCUAAUAGUGUUUUUAAAACGGGCUUAGUGUCUUUAUUAAACCCAAAACUGGUAAACCCUUCUUCACGACAGGCAGUUGGUAUGACAACUGGGCAAAGCGAAGUUGAAGGAAACCAAACAGAUUUGACUGUACAUUUGAAUACGACAACAUACGAUGAAGAAAUUGAUGAACGAAUGAAAAUCUUAAAAGAAGAAUUAAGAAAAAAAUUUAAAAAAAGCAACGUUAAACCAAAAGAAUAAUUCGAACCAGUCGAAAAAUAGAGAGGAUCACUGAAACGAUCAUUCUGCAUAGUGCUUCACAUGAAAUAAAGAAUAAUAGACUCUAUUGGAUAGUACAAUACUCUAUUGUAACUGUGUGGUUCUGCACUUUAAGUGUAGUAGAAUGCGGCGGUAACACGAUGUUCAGACGAAGAAUGCCUGAAUUUUUUUUUUUUGAAACAAAAAACAAUGUUUAUUA